UUCUGGCUCAGGAUGAACGCUGGCGGCGUGCUUAACGACAUGCAAGUCGAACGGAGUUAAAAUGAAGCUUGCGAUUUUAAACUAGUGGCGGACGGGUGAGUAACGCGUGGGUAACCUGCCUUAUACCGGGGGAUAACACUUAGAAAUAGGUGCUAAUACCGCAUAAGCGCACAGUUUCGCAUGAAACAGUGUGAAAAACUCCGGUGGUAUAAGAUGGACCCGCGUCUGAUUAGCUGGUGGUGAGGUAACGGCCCACCAAGGCGACGAUCAGUAGCCGGCCUGAGAGGUGAACGGCCACAUUGGGACUGAGACACGGCCCAAACUCCUACGGGAGGCAGCAGUGGGGAAUAUUGGACAAUGGGGGAAACCCUGAUCCCAGCGACGCCGCGUGAGUGAAGAAGUAUUUCGGUAUGUAAAGCUCUAUCAGCAGGGAAGAUAAUGACGGUUACCUGACUAAGAAGCCCCGGCUAACUACGUGCCAGCCGCCGC
rnacentral:rRNA from 1 species